rnacentral:rRNA from 1 species
UAGGGAAUCUUCGGCAAUGGAGGAAAGUCUGACCGAGCAACGCCGCGUGAGUGAAGAAGGUUUUAGGAUCGUAAAACUCUGUUGUUAGAGAAGAACAAGGACGUUAGUAACUGAACGUCCCCUGACGGUAUCUAACCAGAAAGCCACGGCUAACUACGUGCCAGCAGCCGCGGUAAUACGUAGGUGGCAAGCGUUGUCCGGAUUUAUUGGGCGUAAAGCGAGCGCAGGCGGUUUCUUAAGUCUGAUGUGAAAGCCCCCGGCUCAACCGGGGAGGGUCAUUGGAAACUGGGAGACUUGAGUGCAGAAGAGGAGAGUGGAAUUCCAUGUGUAGCGGUGAAAUGCGUGGAUAUAUGGAGGAACACCAGUGGCGAAGGCGGCUCUCUGGUCUGUAACUGACGCUGAGGCUCGAAAGCGUGGGGAGCAAACAGG